rnacentral:rRNA from 1 species
ACUGUAAGGGUAAAGAAAUUUAAUUUUUAANUUGAGAAGUNNNUGAAAANNNAGGAAAGGAAAAAUUUUCUUUCAAGGUAAAAUUAGAAGAGGGNUAAUUCUUUCAAAUUNUUAAGCUUUNNAGAAAUUCAAAAGUGAAACUAGGAUUAGAUACCCUAUUAUUAUUGAGAUAAAGAAAAUNUAGGUAGUAGUAGAUGUCUUGAAACUUAAAGAAUUUGGCGGUGUUUUAAUCUUACCAGAGGAACUUGCGUUAUAACUCGAAAUUACUCGUCUAAUCUUACUUGAAUUUANGUUUGUAUAUCGUCGUAAAAAUAAAACUUUAAAGUGUAUAUUUAAAAUUAUUAAANUUAAAAAUUACAGAUCAAGGUUCAGCUNGUAUUUAAGNAAAACGUGAGUUACAAUAUUUUUAGAAGUAAAUGGAUAAUUUUUUNNGGAAGANAGAAUUUAAAGGUGGAUUUGGAAGU